CAGCAGCCGCGGGAAUACGAAGGGUGCAAGCGUUACUCGGAAUUACUGGGCGUAAAGGGCUCGCAGGCGGUUUCUUAAGUCUGAUGUGAAAGCCCCCGGCUCAACCGGGGAGGGUCAUUGGAAACUGGGAAACUUGAGUGCAGAAGAGGAGAGUGGAAUUCCACGUGUAGCGGUGAAAUGCGUAGAGAUGUGGAGGAACACCAGUGGCGAAGGCGACUCUCUGGUCUGUAACUGACGCUGAGGAGCGAAAGCGUGGGGAGCGAACAGGAUUAGAUACCCGUGUAGUCCCUGUCUCUUAUAC
rnacentral:rRNA from 1 species